rnacentral:rRNA from 1 species
AUGGGACCGGCGGACCGGGUCCCUUUCGGUUCGGCGGGGGCGGAGAUCGUGCAAAGAGUGGAUCGAGGUGAUGCACGCGAGCGAUUUACCCAGGAGUGGUCAUGGCUCACAGUUCGGAAGAGUAGUCUGGGUCUGAAGAAGAAAUACCUCAGAUGCCGCAUGUGGCUAAAAGAGCAAAGUUGGCUGGUUAAAGAAAACCUACUAAGCCGCCAAAGAUUCCGAAUAAGAAGUCUGAAUUUGAAUCAGAGGAAGAAGAAGAUGAUAUUCCCUUGGCUCACAGUCAGCCCGAGGAUGAAUAGAUCAUCGACUCAAAGACUUUUUUCUCCAAUGGAAAUCCCAAGAAGGGUGGUCGCGGUAGAGAAAGAAACACCGCAGCUGAGAUAUCUGAUCCCGAGACUUAUAAAACUCCACCUGGAGUUGAAACAACAACCAAAAGAAAUAUCAUGCUGCAAAGGAUUCACCGUCACUGGGUGA